rnacentral:rRNA from 1 species
UUAGAGUUUGAUCCUAGCUCAGGAUGAACGCUGGCGGCGUGGAUAAGGCAUGCAAGUCUAAAGGAUUUUCGGCGCAAGCCGAAGGUCCUUGGCAAACGAGGUAGUAACACGUAGGUACGUACCCUUUAGUUGAGUAUAACUAGCCGAAAGGUUAGAUAAUUCUCAAUGGUCUCUGAGGCGCAAGCCAAGGAGUAAAGAUUUAUCGCUAAAGGAACGGCCUGCGGCCUAUCAGCUAGUUGGUGAGGUAAUGGCUCACCAAGGCUAUGACGGGUAGGGGAGCUGAGAGGCUGACCCCCACCGAUGGAACUGAGAAACGGUCCAUACACCUACGGGUGGCCGCAGUCGAGAAUCUUCCGCAAUGGGCGAAAGCCUGACGGAGCGACGCCGCGUGGUUGAUGAAGUCCUUCGGGACGUAAAAACCUUUUAUGAUUGAGAAAUCCGUCCGUUUUAACUGACGGUUGAUCUGAUCAUGAAUAAGGGGCUCCAAACUCUGUGCCAGCAGGAGCGGUAAUACAGAGGCCCCAAGCGUUAUCCGGAAUCACUGGGCGUAAAGGGUGUGUAGGUGGUUUUGUUAGUCUCUUGUUAAAGCUCCCGACUCAAUCGGGAAAAUGCAAGGGAUACGGCAAGACUAAGAGAGUGUG